GUCUACAGCCAUAAUACUCUGCAUGUGCCCAGUUUGAUCUCGGAAGCUAAGCAGGGUCAGACCUGGUUAGUACUUGGAUUGUAGAAC
rnacentral:rRNA from 1 species